rnacentral:rRNA from 1 species
GAUGAACGCUGGCGGCGUGCCUAAUACAUGCAAGUCGAGCGAACGGACGAGAAGCUUGCUUCUCUGAUGUUAGCGGCGGACGGGUGAGUAACACGUGGAUAACCUACCUAUAAGACUGGGAUAACUUCGGGAAACCGGAGCUAAUACCGGAUAAUAUUUUGAACCGCAUGGUUCAAAAGUGAAAGACGGUCUUGCUGUCACUUAUAGAUGGAUCCGCGCUGCAUUAGCUAGUUGGUAAGGUAACGGCUUACCAAGGCAACGAUGCAUAGCCGACCUGAGAGGGUGAUCGGCCACACUGGAACUGAGACACGGUCCAGACUCCUACGGGAGGCAGCAGUAGGUAAUCUUCCGCAAUGGGCGAAAGCCUGACGGAGCAACGCCGCGUGAGUGAUGAAGGUCUUCGGAUCGUAAAACUCUGUUAUUAGGGAAGAACAUAUGUGUAAGUAACUGUGCACAUCUUGACGGUACCUAAUCAGAAAGCCACGGCUAACUACGUG